AGUGAACGCUGGCGGUAGGCCUAACACAUGCAAGUCGAACGGCAGCACAGUAAGAGCUUGCUCUUACGGGUGGCGGGUGGCGGACGGGUGAGGAAUACAUCGGAAUCUACUUUUUCGUGGGGGUUAACGUAGGGAAACUUACGCUAAUACCGCAUACGACCUACGGGUGAAAGCAGGGGAUCUUCGGACCUUGCGCGAUUGAAUGAGCCGAUGUCGGAUUAGCUAGUUGGCGGGGUAAAGGCCCACCAAGGCGGCGAUCCGUAGCUGGUCUGAGAGGAUGAUCAGCCACACUGGAACUGAAACACGGUCCAGACUCCUACGGGAGGCAGCAGUCGGGAAUGUUGGACAAUGGGCGCAAGCCUGAUCCAGCCAUACCGCGUGGGUGAAGAAAGCCUUCGGGUUGUAAAGCCCUUUUGUUGGGAAAGAAAAGCAGCAGGUUAAUACCCCGCUGUUCCGACGGUACCCAAAAAAUAAGCACCGGCUAACUUCGUG
rnacentral:rRNA from 1 species